rnacentral:rRNA from 1 species
UACAGAGGGGGCAAGCGUUGUCCGGAAUUACUGGGCGUAAAGCGCGCGCAGGCGGUGGUCUAUGUGCCGUGUGACAGGCGGGGGCUCAACCCCCGGUUCGCAGGGUAGACAGGAGCACUGGAGGCAGGGAGAGGGAUGUGGAAUGCCCGGUGGAGCGGUGAAAUGCGUAGAGAUCGGGCGGAACACCAGCGGCGAAGGCGGCAUCCUGGCCCUGGCCUGACGCUGAGGCGCGAGAGCGUGGGGAGCGAACUGG